rnacentral:misc_RNA from 1 species
GAGAGCGCACUAGAGCUCACUGAC